rnacentral:rRNA from 1 species
GACGAACGCUGGCGGCGUGCUUAACACAUGCAAGUCGAACGGGCCUGUCUUCUUUUUUGGGGGGUGGGUUGAGUGGCGAACGGGUGAGUAUCACGUGAGUAACCUGCCCUUCGGUCCUGGAUAACCGCUUGAAAGGGCGGCUAAUACGGGGUGGUCCGGUUGGUCCGCAUAGGCUGGUCGGGAUAGAUUCACUGUUUUUGGUGUUUCGGCGGGGGAUGGGCUCGCGGCCUAUCAGCUUGUUGGUGGGGUGAUGGCCUACCAAGGCGGUGACGGGUAGCCGGCCUGAGAGGGUGGGCGGCCACACUGGGACUGAGAUACGGCCCAGACUCCUGCGGGAGGCAGCAGUGGGGGGUAUUGCACAAUGGGCGGAAGCCUGAUGCAGCGACGUCGCGUGAGGGAUGGAGGCCUUCGGGUUGUGAACCUCUGUUUCCGGUGGUGAAGGCCCUGUCCGUGUGGUGGGGUUGACGGUAGCCGGGGAUGAAGCGCCGGCUAACUACGUG